AAUUAUAUAGCUCAGUUGGUAGAGUACUUGCUUUCCAAGUAUGUGGCCCUGGGUUUGAUACCUCAGAACCAUUA
rnacentral:tRNA from 1 species